rnacentral:rRNA from 1 species
GAUGAACGCUGGCGGCGUGCCUAAUACAUGCAAGUCGAGCGAACGGACGAGAAGCUUGCUUCUCUGAUGUUAGCGGCGGACGGGUGGGUAACAUGUGGAUAACCUACCUAUAAGACUGGGAUAACUUCGGGAAACCGUAGCUAAUACCGGAUAAUAUUUUGAACCGCAUGGUUCAAAAGUGAAAGACGGUCUUGCUGUCACUUAUAGAUGGAUCCGCGCUGCAUUAGCUAGUUGGUAAGGUAACGGCUUACCAAGGCAACGAUGCAUAGCCGACCUGAGAGGGUGAUCGGCCACACUGGAACUGAGACACGGUCCAGACUCCUACGGGAGGCAGCAGUAGGGAAUCUUCCGCAAUGGGCGAAAGCCUGACGGAGCAACGCCGCGUGAGUGAUGAAGGUCUUCGGAUCGUAAAACUCUGUUAUUAGGGAAGAACAUAUGUGUAAGUAACUGUGCACAUCUUGACGGUACCUAAUCAGAAAGCCACGGCUAACUACGUG